UAAUACGGGGGGAGCAAGCGUUGUUCGGAUUUACUGGGCGUAAAGGGCGCGUAGGCGGCCAGCACAAGUCAGUUGUGAAAUCUCCGAGCUUAACUCGGAAAGGUCAACUGAUACUGUGCGGCUAGAGUGCGGAAGGGGCAACUGGAAUUCUUGGUGUAGCGGUGAAAUGCGUAGAUAUCAAGAGGAACACCUGCGGCGAAGGCGGGUUGCUGGGCCGACACUGACGCUGAGGCGCGAAAGCUAGGGGAGCGAACGGGAUUAGAU
rnacentral:rRNA from 1 species